GGGUCCUUUCACCGGGAAUAGGUUAUGAACAGGAUAACUUUCCUGUUUCUCAUAACAGGAAAACAAAAAUAUCACUCUCAAAAGAGCGUUUCUUGACCAGAAAUAUUUUAACUUACACUUAGUUACUCAGUGAAAGGUAAUUUUAGGUAAAAUGGAGCUCUGCUUAUCUCUGCAAGAAUAUCUACUGCCUCCUAUUACCAUAACACAUUUUAUUUGAUGGGAGGGAAAGCGAGUCCAGUCUGGUCCACCUAAAUGAUAACCCUGGUUGAAAUCCAGCUUGAGCUGGCCUGCAAAAGUGAUCUCCUUAGAAAAAACUCUCCAAGGACAAGACUCUGACCCUCCAGAGCAGGCAGGACUGUGGCCAGUCCCAGGCCUUUGCCAGGAUGGGACCACAACUCUCAGCUGUAAAUCCCUUCCCCACUGUCUACAUCGUCCAUCUGGUCAGGCUAGACUACGUGGAAACAAGGAAACCCCAGUCAGCAGCAGGACCAAGGAUUCUCUGCAUCAGGUCACAGCAGGCAUGGGCCCAGGGGCCUCCUAGGCAGCCCCUACCCCGCCACCCCAGCUCCUCACAUGGAGACACUAAGAUGAAAGAAGGAGCCUGAGUUUAAGGCUCACACUGGCUCUUAACUACUCUCUCCAGAAUGAGCUUGGGCUUUCCACUCAGCCCAGCAGCACUCAUCACAAGGCCCAGCAAGACUGGAAGGAGAUGAGGAAGGCAAGGGAUGCAGAGAGGAUGCUGGAAGCGUACUGACCACCUCUGCUGGGGCCUGGC
ensembl:lncRNA